GGCCUGGUGGUCUAGUAGUAUGAUUCCUUCUUAGGGCGUCCGUGCUCGGUUGGAGGAGGUCCCGGGUUCAAUUCCCGGCCAGGCCC